CGCCAUCAGAGUAUACAUAACACUGACGACAUGGUUCUACAGAAACCAGGAUUAGAUACCCUGUUAUACUUUAAUAAAAUAACUUAAACCCGGGUAGUAUAUAGCUAUUGUCUUGAAACCCAAAGAGUUUGGCGGUACCUCAGUCUAGUUAGAGGAGCUUGUCCGGUAAUCGAUAAUCCGCGAAAAAAUCUUACACACUUUUGUAAACAGCUUAUAUACCGUCGUUAUUAGAUAAUAUUAAAAAGUAAUUAAUUAUCUGAAAAUAUUUGAAUAUAGUAUAUCAGAUCAAGGUGUAGCUUAUGAGUGUGAGUUGGAUGAGCUACAAUUUAGUUUAUAAAAAUGGAUGUUGUUUUUAAAUAAAUAACUAAAGGUGGAUUUAAUAGUAAUUGUGGUUUUAGUAAGCCACAAUGAUAUUAGCUCUGAGGUAUGUACAUAUCGCCCGUCGCUAGACCAAGUCUCUGCUACCGUAUAUGUAUACUCUGAGCGGGCUGG
rnacentral:rRNA from 1 species